GGAGCGCGGGACUACCAGCUGUCGGCUACACCAGCCUCCGAUCCCGCGCGCCGCGCCUCGGCCAGAUCAUCCGGCAGUCCCACCGAUCCUCGGCCGACCGUCCGUCCAGUCCAGCUGCGCCUCCGUCCGACCGAGCGUCCAUCAGUCCAGCCCUGGCUAGGGCGUCUGUCCAGCGACGGUUCUGCCCGCAUCCUGCCUCCCUGCCGGUUUGGUGAGUGCCCGGCCUGCCGAGUCUGGGUCACCUUCGUAGGGUGGGGGUGAUCCCGGCGCUGCGUGGGGCCGCGGCAGGGCAGCGCAGGGUCCGCGCGCGCGGGGUCGGGGGUGCGCUGGCACUCUCUGGGUGGGCGCGCGGGCCGGGCUGGCAGGCGGGCGGGCGGUGCGCGCGGCCGGUGCCCAUGCGGCUGUCUCAGAUACGGAGUCCAUUUUGCUUCCCUGAAGACGCGGCGUGGUGCAUGAUGCAACACCCGUGAGUAAGCGUGGGCGCCCUGGCGCCUCGGGUGGUGCCACGCGUGCCCUGCCUGGCACUGGGCGCCGGGACGCACCGGUGGUUACGGGGCCGGAGCGGGAGGGCGGGCGCGGGGCGCGGCUGAUGAAACUCGCGCGCCGGAUGCCUCCCGCCCUCCACACUUCAUUCACUCCGCGCGGGCAGGUGUGAGCCGCGGGUCCCCUGCUAGCGGAGCGCGGGACUACCAGCUGUCGGCUACACCAGCCUCCGAUCCCGCGCGCCGCGCCUCGGCCAGAUCAUCCGGCAGUCCCACCGAUCCUCGGCCGACCGUCCGUCCAGUCCAGCUGCGCCUCCGUCCGACCGAGCGUCCAUCAGUCCAGCCCUGGCUAGGGCGUCUGUCCAGCGACGGUUCUGCCCGCAUCCUGCCUCCCUGCCGGUUCGGAGCCAGCGGCCCCCUCUCGAGGCUCCUGAGACGCCAUCGCUCCAGGACCAGGGACCCCCCAGUGACGAGGCGACAGUCCUUACAUCGUAGUCCAGGUGCAGUCCAGCAGGAGGGUCUGCUCUUGGUGCCAGGAUGUUACUCAUUUAGGCCUUUCCUUGGCUGUUGGCUUUUUAAGUUAACUGACAGCUAAGCCCUAAGUCUUCUUUUUAACAUCUCACUGGCCUGCCUCAGUCAGCUCUUCUGUCUCACCUGGAAAGGCUUGUCUUCACUCUCAUGGUCUCUUGAGUUUCUGUGUGCACUUC
rnacentral:lncRNA from 1 species